rnacentral:lncRNA from 1 species
CUUCCUGCUAUGUUUCGGCGCGCUCCCAAAUCCGACGAGUUUGGGGUAGUUGGGGGCUGCUUUGGUUUUUUCCUCCUGUCUCCUUAAAGCUCAGUUACUUUAUUUUAAAAGUCCUGAUACGAUAGUCAUCCUGGAGGGUAAGUGUGGUUUAUGAAGAUUUUCGUGUUUAAAGAGAAGCUCAGCGAAGAGAAAUGAGAUUGCACUUCCUGUCGGUGCCCGCCACGUCCCUCGCGCCCUGAGCCUUUCCUCUCCCCGCCCCUCUUUUCGCGUCCCUCAGCCCCUUUUGAGCUCUCUUUUCCUCACUUUUCAGCAUCUCGAUUUCUUUUCCGUGGUGGUGGGAUUCUUUUUGUCGUUAUUGCAAAUGAACAAAUAGCCCCCCCCCCUUUUUUUUUCUUUUCUAAACGAAAGUAAAAAGUGGCCUCUGUGUCUCCGCAGAUUCUCUUAAACUCAGGACGCGCAUCGGUCUGUCCGACCUUCCCGGCAAGAGACAAAGUCACUGCUGGGAGGCCCCCUCGGACAGUUUUCAGUUUUAACUUUCGCCUUAUUCUCGUCUUGUCUUGAUGUCACGGCCCUGAGGAACAGCUCGUUCUGCAGAAGAGGUAACAGGUUUCAGAUUUUGUUUCCUUUUUGAAAGGCUGUUGCCUUUCAAACAUCUGGAAUUAAUGCCGCGGCCCUCGGGCGAGUCGCCCUCGGUUUCUGUAGCUCUGAUUUUAUCUCUGUGUCUUUUCCCCUCUAAUUUCUAAAGUUCUGUUUUUCCCUCUAAUUCUGUUUUUCCCUCUAAUUUCUAAUGUUCUGUCACUCUCGUUUUUGUUCUCUACUUUUCUCUCUCUCCUUCAGAAUAAAGAAAAUUCGUUUAAAUAAUGAGGAAAAUGAGCGUUCCUGUCGUUCUCCCUCCACUCUUGACCGUGCGUCUCUGCGUUGCUCUUUCGAACCUCCAGGCCGGCGGGAAUCUGGGCGCGCAGACUCGGCCCGGGUCGUCGCGGCCUCAGGACGCAGCCCAUUCCGCCUGGCACGACUACUGGGCCGCGUCUUGUCAGUCUAUCAGCUUCUGAGCCCAGGAAUGGGGGUGGGGGAAGGACGGUGCGACUAACGGGCCCCCACCCGAAGACCGCAGAACCUGGCGCCCCGGAAGAGCCCUGGAAGAUGCCCACCGGGAGGCUGAGGCUGGAGGGAGGAGUGGGUGGGGGUGAUUCGCUGGAGGACCGGGCGGAGAGCUUCCAGAAAGUUCACCAGGCCCCGGCGCGAGGGCGCUCCGACACGGACAAGGUCUAUGAUAGCGAUAAAAAGCUGGUUACUCGCUCCCAGAAAAUGCCACUUGCUGGAGUCUGUGAAUGGGUUUAGGAGAGAGAAGGGUGUCAGCCCCCGCGAGGGUCUCCCGCGUGAAGUGAGGAUAAGGGAGUGCUUCAGGGAUAAUAUGUCCUCUAGGAGCGCAGGACCCAGACCCCACCUUCCAACACCUGGAGGUUCCGAGGCCAAGUAUGUCUAGCCCCGGCUGCACCUGGGUAGGUGAGCCAUGGGGUCGGGGGAAGAGCGCCGACAACCGCCGGAUUCCGCGCAGGGGCCGCCAGGCGCCUGCUCCCAGAGCUCCUUUGGACAAAGUUUUCGGGAAAUUCUAUUAAACCGAAAACGAAAUAAACUAUACAAAUCUGCCUAGCUUUUGAGGGGGCGGUGGCCCAGGUAUCCUUCUCGCUUGAGGCCAGGUCACCGUGAGAUUUCCCCACUCCGGACCGGGGAUCCCGCAGAAGCCAAGGGUGUAGCCACGAGGACUCGGGAACCCGAGGCGGCCCAGCAGAUGCGUGAGGAACUUCAUUUUCUCAGGAGUGGGAGGAGGAGCAUCCUGGCAUCUAACACAGCCCAACCAGAGGGAAUCCGCCCAACCCCUAGUGGCGGCAUCUCACUCUUCUCUCGCUCCUCUUUUCUGGCAUUCACAUCCCCACAGGUCUGAGACCCACAGCCUUUUCUCCCACUCCCCGGAGGUUAGGGUGUUCAUGUGAGUGAAUGUGUUAUGGAGGGAGGCAAAAUAAACCCGUUAUGGAGGGAGGGCAAAUAAACCCAAGGUCAUCUCACCCACACUUCGACAGGGCAGGAUAUCCUCUGCCCAGCUUCCCAGGCCGCUCCAGGGCCAGUUCCUCCUGAUUUGGAUUGGGUUGGUCGGAGGGGAAAGCAAGGGCAUGGCCCAACUGAGCCACCAGCACUAGUAGAGCACGCCCAGGUUGAGGCAGCAGGGUCUACCCCCUUCCCAACCUGAGUGUAGCUUCACACUUGGACACACCCCCUCCCACGUGCGUGUGACCACUCUCUGCAAAGUUUGGGACACACUCUCACGCCAGCAUUCAGAGAGCACCACCGGGCCCAGGCUCAACUCUGAUGCUACCCUCCGGCUCAAGGGGACCCCUUCAGUGAGUUUGACCUCACAGUGUUCUUAUAAGCAUGUCCCCAUCCUGGGCCAUCCACUUGGUGUGUGACAUUCCCAGACUCCCACAGAUUUCCACCUCGGUGAUAGCACACGCCGACAGGAGCACAUUCUUACGCAGGUAUGCCCUGGUUUAUGCGCGGAGCUCCAGUCUUACUUCUACAGUUGGGCCCCGGGCAGAAAAAGCCAAAACCC